AUUGCCCCUUGAGGCGUUGCAGUCCGACUCUGUGUCGAGCCUGUGUCAUAAGGUGGCAGAGAUUAAAAGGUCUGCACUGUCAUCUGAAUUCAGAACCUCCAACAGUGGGGUUUCUGAAAAAUGAAGUCUACCAAU
rnacentral:snoRNA from 1 species